GCCGGAGUGGCGAAAUGGUAUACGCAAUAGACUCAAAAUCUAUCGAUCGCAAGGUCAUGUGGGUUCAAGUCCCACCUCCGGCA
rnacentral:tRNA from 1 species